rnacentral:rRNA from 1 species
GGGCCCGCACAAGCGGUGGAGCAUGUGGUUUAAUUCGAUGAUACGCGAGGAACCUUACCAGGGCUUAAAUGGGAGAUGACAGGGGCAGAGACGCCCUUUUCUUCGGACAUCUUUCAAGGUGCUGCAUGGUUGUCGUCAGCUCGUGCCGUGAGGUGUCAGGUUAAGUCCUAUAACGAGCGCAACCCCUACCGUUAGUUGCCAGCGAUUCAAGUCGGGGACUCUAACGGGACUGCCGGUGCAAACCGUGAGGAAGGUGGGGACGACGUCAAAUCAUCACGGCCCUUACGUCCUGGGCUACACACGUGCUACAAUGGUCGGUACAGAGGGAAGCUACCCCGUAAGGGGAUGCGGAUCUAUAAAACCGAUCUCAGUUCGGAUCGCAGUCUGCAACUCGACUGCGUGAAGCUGGAAUCGCUAG